UACAGAGGCCCCAAGCGUUACCCGGAAUUAUUGGGCGUAAAGGGUGCGUAGGCGGUCGUAUUAGUCUUUUGUUAAAGCCUUGGGCCUAACCCAAGAUCUGCAAAGGAAACGGUACGACUGGAGGAUGUGAGAGGUGUGCGGAACUCUAAGUGUAGGGGUGAAAUCCGUUGAUAUCUUGGGGAACACCAAAUGCGAAGGCAACUCACUGGCGCGUUCCUGACGCUGAGACACGAAAGCGUGGGUAGCGAAUGGG
rnacentral:rRNA from 1 species